rnacentral:lncRNA from 1 species
CAAGGCGGAGGAUUAGGCUAGUGAGCUGCGGCGCCGGCCGCGUUUUGUAUUUUUAAAGCAGAUUUAUUUGUUUCUUUGGAAGGAAAGUGAAGAGAGAGAGAUCUUCUAUCUGCUGGUUCACACCCCAAAUGUUUGUGACCAGCUGGGGCUGGGCCAGGCUGAAGCUAGGAACCCAAAACUUCUUUCACGUCUCCUGCGUGGGUGGCAGGAACCCAGGUACUUGGGCUAUUCCCUGCUGCCACCCAGGCACAUUGGCAGGAGACUGGAUGGGAAGUGUGGAGUUGCCAGGACUUGAGCUAGCACUCGGAUACUGCAUGUGGGCAUCCCAAGUGGUGACUUAAGCCACUGUGCCUUGGUGCCUGACCAGGGCAAGCAGAGUUUACUUUAUUUAAGAUUUAUUUAUUUAUUUGAAAGGCAGAGUUUCAUAGAGGGAGAGGCAGAGAGAGAGAGAGAGAGAGAGAGAGAGAUUUUCUAUCUGCAAAUGGCCAGUCUGAAGGCAGGAGCUUCUUCUGGGUCUCCCAUGUGGGUGACAGGGACACAAGCACUUGGAACAUCUCCCACUGCUUUCCCAGGCUCAUGAGCAGGGAGCUGGAUCAGAAGUGGAGCAGCCAGGUCUUGAACUGGUGCCCUUAUGGAAUGGCUUUGGCUUAACCCCGCUGUGCCGCGGUGACUGACCAGGGCAAUCAUAUUUUAAACAGCAUUUCCUUGAUCUCCUGCUGGGGGUGGCAGGUGCAACAGCCCUUUCCAGGAAGUGUCGGGGGCCCUGUGCAGAGAGCCGUCCACUUUGGCUUGUCCCCAAAACAGCAAGUGUCUCCCCCCAGGCGAGAGACAGAGCUGAGUUUGGCGCAGCAACCCAGAGAGAGGGUGUGAGUGUCCCCACAGCCUGGACAGUGGAUGAGCCCAGGGCAGCCCCUCCUGAGCUGGUGAGCAGGUGCUGCUCCUGGGACUGGCUUGUAAAUGCUCCAGAGCAGGGGCCACGGUCUGCACAGGUCAGGGGGCUUCUCUGGGGGUCUACACAGGAGGGCGUUUGGAGGCAGCCUGCCUUCUGCUGUCCUGGAACUUUUGAGAGUGCAGACCAGCGCCCCUCCCCCUUGCCCUAUUUGCUACAUAGGAGUCAUGGAAUUCUGGCAUUUUCUCUUUUCUGCAGACGCUAUGUACUGGGAGACCGCAGAAGGAUCUGAGCAACACUGGUGCUUGGGCUCUCGUGGGAUCUCCCAGUGCUCUGGCCUGCAGGUGUCAAUCACUCAGAAGAAGGGAGAAGGCAGAGACGCGCUCCAGGAUGAGGCUCUCUGGGUCACCUCGCUCAGUGCUUCCUUGUUGGCCAGUCCGAUUUUUCCCACCUCGGACCUCAAAGGAGCUGUGGUUCCCGUGGGGGUGCAGAGCACGGUGUAG